rnacentral:misc_RNA from 1 species
GGAUGGAUCAUUAAACAUAUCUACGUAUCAACCAAUCGUGAACUCUCGUUUUUUCCAACGUGCUCUGUUUUUUGGUUAAUUUGGGGAGUCCCGGCCUCUGAGCUGUCCGAGCUGUAAAAGGCUUUGGCGGUGUACGACGUGCUUGGCUUUUCGAAGAGACUUAAAGACAUCAUGGAGGAAACUUAUUAACCCAUUGUAUUAUCAUCCCCAGUUAUUUUAUUCUUUGUCGCGGCCUAACGGCGGACUUUCUAGUAAGAAAUUUUUGUACAACUCUUAACGAUGGAUAUCUAGGCUCUCGGAUCGAUGAAGAACGCAGCGAAAUGCGAUACGUAAUGCGAAUUGCAGGAUUCAGUGAAUCAUCAAAUCUUUGAACGCAACUUGCAGUUGCCGGGGUAAAAGCCGGCAACUAUACUUCUCUGAGUAUCGUCUUCAACCAAUCUCGUCUGCGUGCUUUCUUUGUAACAGAAGGGAGCACAAGGGCGGAAAAUGAGAGUCUUGUUCAGUAAUUGAGCUAGUCUCUUGAAAUAAAGUGUCUGCCUCAUUGUGGAAAUGGGGCUGCUAGUUGUCAUUCGGUGGAGUGAUCUUCGAAAGGAGAAAGCUUCACUGGGUGAUGCGGAUUUAGAAGCCAAAUAGCAUACCUUGCUCUUGGCCGGAUACCUUGGGAUCAACUUCACCUGUUUCGUUUAGUCUAACGAAGGCGUUGUUACCAAUUAUCAGAAGUCGAGCGAUAAAUCCAACUAGUUGAAGUGUGAUAAUAGGGACAAAAGACUCGAAAGGGUUUUGCGUCUUUAAAACUAACUUUAGCUAGGGAUGCAAGAUCUCUGAGAAAAGUAGCAGUUAAGUCUUUGUAAGGCGAGGAAUGGGAUGGACGAUAACUCCUAGUAGGAUACCGGUUGAGGUGAGCCAGGGAAUAACCGUUAACCAGACGGUUUCUUCUUGGUCUUAUUAGUAACUAAGCAAGGGUCUUACAGCUGAAGGUGCUUCGUUUUAACAAUCAUUUAGCAGUCCAACUCAUACAGUUUCGUGACAACGAGGUACGAGAGUUCUUGGAGUCCCUUAAACAAGGACUUUUCAAGAAAACUUCUUGAAAUUUGAUCUCAGAUGAAGUAAGACUACCCGCCGAAUUUAAGCAUAUUAUUAAGCGGAGGAAAAGAAACUAACAAGGAUUCCCCUAGUAACGGCGAGUGAAGCGGGAAAAGCUCAAAGUUAAAAUCGGUGUCCCUAGCGGGAUUCCGAAAUGUAACCUGGAGACCUUGUCCCAGUCCAGACCCGGGUAUAAAUCUUUUGAAACAAGGUAUCAGAGAGGGUGAGAAUCCCGUCUUUGACUUGGAGUUCUGGACGUACGGGCGGGGAUCAAAGAGUCGGAUAGCUUGGGAAUGCUGUCCUAAAUGGGUGGUAAAUUUCAUCUAAAGCUAAAUACAGCCGAGAGACCGAUAGUGAACAAGUACCGUGAGGGAAAGAUGAAAAGAACUUUGAAAAGAGAGUUAAAAAGUACUUGAAAUCGUUAAGAGGUAAGCUUAGAAACCCAGUUAUGCUGAGCUCCAAUAAGCGGUAGCUGAAACGUAGUUCCAGGAUGACGACCUAAAAAGCGUUUGUCUUGGCUGCGGUAAGGUUGCCGUGGUUUGAGGCUUGGUUUGUCAAGGUCAGGUAGAGGUGUGGGAGAAAGCUGGUGGAAGAAGGGCUGCUAGGGGCGACUCUAGUGGCAGUUUAGACGCUAGCCAUACCAUGUCACUGCCUGAGGUAAAACUCGAUAACGUGCCACGCGGUUGUUGUUCCCCGCUAUCCAGUGUCUGACUCACGAUUGUGUCGUGUUAGGGUGCUGGUGUGUGAUGGUGUGACAAUUGACAGUACGUUCGCGAUCUUGACUAAAUGGUUUUCCAAGACCCGUCUUGAAACACGGACCAAGGAGUCUAACCUAUAUGCGAGUAUUUGGGUGUAAAAACCCUGAUGCGGAAUGAAAGUGAAGGCAGCCUUGUGCUGCUGAGGUAGGAAACCCGCAAGGGUGGCACUAUCGCCCGAUCUGACCUUCUGGAAAGAUUUGAGGAAGAGCAUAUCUGUUGGGACCCGAAAGAUGGUGAACUAUGCCUGAUCAGGGUGAAGCCAGGGGAAACUCUGGUGGAGGCUCGUAGCGAUACUGACGUGCAAAUCGUUCGUCUGAAUUGGGUAUAGGGGCGAAAGACUAAUCGAACCAUCUAGUAGCUGGUUCCCGC